rnacentral:tRNA from 1 species
GAGAAUAUAGCUCAAAUGGUAGAGCACAUGCUUAGCACGCAUGAGGUCCUGUGUUCAAUCCCCAGUACCUCCA